rnacentral:tRNA from 1 species
AAAAUCCGUCGUCUUUAGAAAUCGUGAGG